AGAGUUUGAUCAUGGCUCAGGAUGAACGCUAGCUACAGACUUAACACAUGCAAGUCGAGGGGCAGCAUGAACUUAGCUUGCUAAGUUUGAUGGCGACCGGCGCACGGGUGAGUAACACGUAUCCAACCUGCCGAUGACUCGGGGAUAGCCUUUCGAAUGAAAGAUUAAUACCCGAUGGCAUAGUUCUUCCGCAUGGUGGAACUAUUAAAGAAUUUCGGUCAUCGAUGGGGAUGCGUUCUA
rnacentral:rRNA from 1 species